ensembl:snRNA U1 U1 spliceosomal RNA
AUACAUAUGUGGCAGGGGAGAUACCAUGAUCAUGAAGGUGGUUUUCCCAGGGCGGGGCUUAUCCAUUGCACUCCGGAUGUGCGGACUCUUGCAAUUUCCCCAAAUGUGGGAAACUCAACAGCGUAAUUUGUUGUAGUGGGGAACUGUGUUCUCACUCUCCCCUA